UACGUAGGGUGCGAGCGUUGUCCGGAAUUAUUGGGCGUAAAGGGCUCGUAGGCGGUUUGUCGCGUCGGGAGUGAAAACCAUGAGCUUAACUCAUGGCUUGCUUUCGAUACGGGCAGACUAGAGGUAUGCAGGGGAGAACGGAAUUCCUGGUGUAGCGGUGAAAUGCGCAGAUAUCAGGAGGAACACCGGUGGCGAAGGCGGUUCUCUGGGCUGUUGCUGACGCUGAGGCGCGACAGCGUGGGGAGCAAACAGG
rnacentral:rRNA from 1 species